CCUACGGGUGGCAGCAGUGGGGAAUAUUGCACAAUGGGGGAAACCCUGAUGCAGCGACGCCGCGUGAGUGAAGAAGGAAUUCGUGAUGUAAAGCUCUAUCAGCAGGGAAGAAAAUGACGGUACCUGAGGAAGAAGCCCCGGCUAACUACGUUCCAGCAGCCGCGGUAAGACGUAGGGGGCAAGCGUUAGCCGGAUUUACUGGGGGUAAAGGGAGCGGAGACGGCAGUGCAAGUCUGGAGUGAAAGGCGGGGGCUCAACCCCCGGACUGCUCUUGAAACUGUCCGGCUGGAGUGCAGGAGAGGUAAGUGGACUUCCUAGUGUAGCGGUGCAAUGCGUAGAUAUUAGGAGGAACCCCAGUGGCGCAGGCGGCUUACUGGACUGUAACUGCCGUUGCGGCUC
rnacentral:rRNA from 1 species